AAACAGAUGCUAAUACCGCAUAACAACUUGGACCGCAUGGUCCGAGCUUGAAAGAUGGCUUCGGCUAUCACUUUUGGAUGGUCCCGCGGCGUAUUAGCUAGAUGGUGGGGUAACGGCUCACCAUGGCAAUGAUACGUAGCCGACCUGAGAGGGUAAUCGGCCACAUUGGGACUGAGACACGGCCCAAACUCCUACGGGAGGCAGCAGUAGGGAAUCUUCCACAAUGGACGAAAGUCUGAUGGAGCAACGCCGCGUGAGUGAAGAAGGGUUUCGGCUCGUAAAACUCUGUUGUUAAAGAAGAACAUAUCUGAGAGUAACUGUUCAGGUAUUGACGGUAUUUAACCAGAAAGCCACGGCUAACUACGUGCCAGCAGCCGCGGUAAUACGUAGGUGGCAAGCGUUGUCCGGAUUUAUUGGGCGUAAAGCGAGCGCAGGCGGUUUUUUAAGUCUGAUGUGAAAGCCUUCGGCUCAACCGAAGAAGUGCAUCGGAAACUGGGAAACUUGA
rnacentral:rRNA from 1 species